UUAAAUUGAAGAGUUUGAUCAUGGCUCAGAUUGAACGCUGGCGGCAGGCCUAACACAUGCAAGUCGAACGGUAACAGAAAGCAGCUUGCUGCUUUGCUGACGAGUGGCGGACGGGUGAGUAAUGUCUGGGAAACUGCCUGAUGGAGGGGGAUAACUACUGGAAACGGUAGCUAAUACCGCAUAACGUCGCAAGACCAAAGAGGGGGACCUUCGGGCCUCUUGCCAUCGGAUGUGCCCAGAUGGGAUUAGCUAGUAGGUGGGGUAACGGCUCACCUAGGCGACGAUCCCUAGCUGGUCUGAGAGGAUGACCAGCCACACUGGAACUGAGACACGGUCCAGACUCCUACGGGAGGCAGCAGUGGGGAAUAUUGCACAAUGGGCGCAAGCCUGAUGCAGCCAUGCCGCGUGUAUGAAGAAGGCCUUCGGGUUGUAAAGUACUUUCAGCGGGGAGGAAGGGGGUAAAGUUAAUACCUUUGCUCAUUGACGUUACCCGCAGAAGAAGCACCGGCUAACUCCGUGCCAGCAGCCGCGGUAAUACGGAGGGUGCAAGCGUUAAUCGGAAUUACUGGGCGUAAAGCGCACGCAGGCGGUUUGUUAAGUCAGAUGUGAAAUCCCCGGGCUCAACCUGGGAACUGCAUCUGAUACUGGCAAGCUUGAGUCUCGUAGAGGGGG
rnacentral:rRNA from 1 species